ensembl:lncRNA
CAUCUAUAUUUAAUGUAUUAUAUUUUGAUAAAAACUGUCAAACAGUUUCUGAACCUUUCAGGUUAUUAAGGGUCUCGGAAAAAUAAUUUACUGACUCUCCAUUACUUCAACAUGUAACAAUUCACUAAAAACUCAAGCACGUUUUCCUUUGGAGAGCAACUUGUGUGUACAGCAGAUUGUAGACAAGGGCGCUGGAACAGAUGUUCACGAAAAGCCGAUUGUAUUCCUUCUGAUGGUUGGACGGCUGAAGUGGAGGUAGGCAGUGGAACAGAUGAAAGAGAAGCAGGAGAAUAAGAGUGUAUAACUCGCUCUCAUCGCCUGCAGUGAGGCAGAGGCUGGAGAGACAUGCAGAUGGGCGCAUCCUCAGGUAAUCCACCCGUUUAUGAGGAGAUUGAUGGAUCUGAGGCAAACGCAACUGACGCAAAGCUCACAUCUAUCUUGGUUUAAGGAUGUGGUCCGCCGAAAGGCUGGGAGGAGGAAUUACAUGCACAAGCACUAUGGCCCCUCAUAAAUCACUGCCACCCAGAGAAAAUGUCACAUUCCAGCGCUUGGUGGGAAUUGGGAAGAGGAAACAGGAAGGAGAGCCGAUGACAACAUCUGGUUGUGAUUUCAGAGAUGCGGGCAUGCUUGGGACUUUUCCAGACCAAAGUAAUCAUAUUUUUGUCAGCACGGCUAUCUCUUACCUGCUGCAGAGUGUGAAUGAAUAAUUGAAAUCCUGACCUUGCAGCAGAAGCUGUCACAAAGGUCCAUCUACUGUAGUAACCUGAACAUAGCCACCUGAUACAAAAGGCAAGUUACUUCUCCAGCCAAGAGAAAAGCAGAAACAAGCUGCCGAGAGAGUGAACCCACAGGAGAUGUGUUUUGUGGCACGGUAUGCCAAGAAAGCUUAAAUAAACAUCCGUUGACACUCUGCACACCCGCAGUGGCGAUCAGGGGUCAGCUGUGGACAUCUCAGUGCACUCAUAUAUCACACUAACACUCUUUCAGUGCAGACCCCUGGGCUCAGAAGCAUUCGCUCUGAUCAUGAGGGUGAAACUGCAAACGGCUGACACUGCAUCCAUCUCUCUCCCCUGGUAUGCUCCACUAGUGGACAGAGUGGAGAGGAGAUACUUUCAUUCUACCUCCGCAUUCUGCCUCAUUUACAUCUUGGGGGUGGCUGGGAGCAGCCCCACUGCCCUGAACGGCCCCCAGCAGUCCUCUCAUUGCAGCCCACUUCGCCUCUGGGUUCAUCUUCGUCCAGGCUUGUAACUUCCAUAAAGUUUGUCCCUCACUGCAGGUCUUUACAACUGUGCACUGAAACUGCUGAACUGUAUUGGAAUGGUUCACACAAGCACAAUGGUCUAGAGACUGUGCAAUCUGGCAUGGUGGCUCACCAUCUUAAAUAGAUCCGAACUUAUUGUGAUUUUGAAUAUAGAUUUCUACAUUUACAGAAAUCUACUGAAAAGAAUGAUGAUUCUACCAUGAUUCUAAUUUUAGACAUUUACGAUAGUAUAUAGAAAUAGCUAAUGCUACAUAUAAAUUCUAAUAUUAGAUGUACUUAAGCAAGAUACAUAUAAUAUUAUAAUCUGUUCACAAUGUUAGGUACAUACAAUGUUAGGUAUUUAUAUAUAUAUAUAUAUAUAUAUAUAUAUAUAUAUAUAUAUAUAUAUGUUGCUCGAAAAUAUGUUGCUUUUUAAUUUCAGAAUUUAAGUUAAAUUUGAAUUGAGGUAUUAAACAGACUGUAAAAUUUUAAUUCAAGCUGUUUGCAAUCUUGUUUAAAAGUUUUGGGGGGGAAAAAACCUUUGAAGAUUUGUAAGCUUUAUGGACAAAAUGCAUUGCCAGUGUUGAAUUUCUCUCAAUUGCUAUUCUUUUCUUGUCAUUCCAAUUCUACUUCCUGUAGGUUGUGGCCAUUUCAAAUUCACGCUCACAAACUGAAAAGUAGCCAUUUUUUCAAUUACGAAUUUUGUACAACUCUGGUCAAAAUACAUGGUGACUUUUGAAUGGCUGUCAAUAGGGAAAGAUUAAUAAGGUGCAGUUAUCCUGCUGUGAGAAACUGAUCACCUUUCCUGAACUGUAAAACACAAAACCAGAUAAACAACUGCUCAGCAGUACUUGUCCAGAGGAUCCAUAUAGCCCAGGUGUGUUGAAAAAAGCACCUUUUCGAUAACAGAGCAAAUGCAGAUGUAAGGGCUUCCACAGUGUACUGUCGUCCCAAGGUAACAGUGUUGAUUUCUUUUGCGUGAACCUGCCUGAGUGAGUCUUUGAUGUCAGUCUGUUUGAUUGGCAAUAUGUCAAUAAUGAACCAGGAGGAGUAACUCUCUGAACGUGGCCUGAAUUGGGAGAGCUGGAGACAAAUUAGUGUGUCCAAUGGUUCUUUUCCUGAACGGAGGUUAGACAAUCCUGGUGAAAAAUCCCAUAAGCAUCAGCUGGGAGAUUGACAUGCGGAUUAGAUGGGUGUUUUUUCUCUUCACCUUGCUGGUGUUCUGUGAAACAUCUGAAUGCUAAGGCUGAUAAAUAAGAGGGAAAAACAGAGGGAGAGAGUAAAUGAAUAUAAAUUGAUGUUUUGACAAUGUCAGAUUUUUUCCUCCACUUUCUGCAUUGAUCUUGGUCUUGGUUUGUAGAAUUUAUUGGCUGAGAAUUUGCUGGCUCCUCCCCUCUCUUUACCCACAAAGACAGGAACUGACAAGACAGCACAUUUUAAUUGUGUCACCCCAGAUACUCCAAGUUUGUACAAUGAGCAUGAAAUUUCUUGAAAUAAAUCCUAUUUCUCGACAACAGGAAAGUUAAAAAGCCCAGAUUUCCUAAUUUGUUUAAAGUUUCGUGUCACUGGGAAUCUUUCCAAACCCAUUUCUACUGUAAUGCAGUGCCAACCUCCCUCCAGCACAAUAACAUCACCAACCCUGUGAUUGCUGACACAUGAAAGCUCGGCAAUAACCUGCCCCGUAUGUCCUCACCCAUUCAGAGUGCAGUGAGAUUCUGGGGGUGAGUUCUCUGACCAAAGAAAAACAUGCCUUCAUUUCAACCUGAGAAAUGCACAGGAAGGCCAUGUUUGAAUUACGAUUCCCAUGUCGCUUGAAAACGUGCAGAGAGAGCCGCAAGUAUAACGAAUGCCUCUGUCAAAUGAAUUGACGUUGAAAUGAUUUUUACAAAAACAUUUAACCAUUUUAACACCUUGCUGGUGUUUUAUUUUUACAACGGGAGCAGGACAUUUCCAAAGGCAUAAAUCUGGAUGUUAAUUAUAGGCUUUUAUUUGCGACCAAAUGUUCGCUGUAGAUGUGUAGGAACUUGGUGGUCCUUUAAUUAGUGUUUAAAACUUACUUUUUAGUUUUAAGGCCAGCUCUUUAUUCUUAGUGAAGAUAGAGUUGUUAGUUUGCCAGGGGUUGUUGGUUGUGACCCAUGAACAGGAAAAGUCAAGAAAGUUAACAUUUAUUAAAUUUUACAUUAUUACUGAUUUAUUCUGUUUUCUAAAGACUGGUCAAAAAUCAUAACAUUAAUUGUCAUUAUUUUAUUUCUUUGACAGCCAUAGUUUGUAACAGUUAGAUGUAAAAGCAACUGUGCAUACAGACAGCAAGUAAUUAGGGUAAUAAGGAGGCAGCACGAUUGUGUGAUUUAUAUGACAAUUCAAUUACAAAAUAAGGUAAUGUUGAAUUACUUAAAUUUUAGACAUUUACUUUGUUGUUCCAAACAAAGCCAUAGCAGCUGGUGGUGUUUCUUUAUUGGAUGAUUCAGUGUUGCUGAACAAAUCAGUAAAUAAUUGAAUUACAUAUUCAUGAACACAACCCAUUACUUCAUUCCUGAAUGAAUAAGCAUUUUUGAACAAAUUGGUUGUAUGUAUGGUUCAGGAUUCUCCAUUUGUUUUUAACAGAUUGAUUGUUGUGCAUAUGAUUCAUGAUUUUUUUUGUGUCAUUAAUCACUUAUCCCCAUGCCGUUCCAAAGCAAUCUUCAGAAAACAAUUUAAGAUAUUUUGGAUGAAAACCAGGAGGCCUGUGACUGUCCCAUAGACUGCCAAGUAAAUAACAGUGUCAAGGUCCAUAAAAGGUAUGAAAGUCAUCAUCAGAAUACUCCAUCUGCCAUCAGACGUGCAAUCUGGGUUAUAUGAAGCGACAGGAACACUUUUUGUAAGCAAAGAAAACAAAAAUAAUGACUUUAUUCAACAAUUCUUUUGUCAACAGUCUCCUCUGUGUCUUUUUUAAUUGUUGAAUAAAGUCAUUAUUUUUGUUUUCUUUGCUUACAAAAAGUGUUCCUGUCGCUUCAUAUAACUCAGAUUGCACGUCUGAUGGAAGAUGGACUUAUUCUGACGAUUACUUUCAUACCUUUUAUGGACCUUGACACUGUUAUUUACUUGGCAGUCUAUGGGACAGUCACAGGCCUCCCGGUUUUCAUCCAAAAUAUCUUAAAUUGUGUUCCGAAGACGAAGGUUUGGAACGGCAUGGGGGUAAGUGAUUAAUGACAAAAUUUUCAUUUUGGGGUGGAUUAUCCCUGUAAUUAUGAUUCACUCAUAAAGUCACUUGUCACCACUAGCAAGCAUUAGUAAAAAGUCUGAAAACCCCU